UCAUAUUCAAAGUUGGGCAGAUAUCUAAUCACAGUGGUAACUUGGUGAACAGAAUCCAUUCUUUUAAGCAUUUCUGAAUGCGAAUAUAGAAAAGCAAGUUUGGAGGGCGGUGCAAUGGAUUUGGAUUCAUUAGGGCAACAAAAAAAAGAGUUAAAAAAGACGAGGCACAUUCUUGUUAUUUUGGCACACAAAAAGGUAAAAAUACAGGUGAUGUUCUAAAGCAGCAAAGGAGAUAAGAGGUCCCUAAAGUUCCACUGAAUAAUAUACGAGAACCCACCUGAAGAUGUUACAUACAAUAUUUCUCCCACAAAAACUAUAUCUUAGCCCAUGAAAUUAAAUCAAAGUGGUCCAGGCUCCAAGCUUUCAUUUUCAUGGCAAGCAGACCAAGCAUCGAGCAUGUAUUUCGUCACCAUAAGCCUGAAUCACCGGAAAAUCUCCUUUUAGAAGCUUUAAUCAACCUGGCUGAUUUCCCAUUGCAUGGCUGCGUAGUGCGAUUCAACUUUUGUGAGGAAACUCCGGGCACAAUCAAAGAAGAACAAUGUUUCGCCACCUUUUUUUUUCUUUUUUUUCUUUUUUUGCGGGUUUGAGAGAGCGAUGGUCGUCUAGAACCACUAGUGAUUUUGCGGCUGGUUUGGGUUGAAACUUGGAACAGAAUUAGGUUCUUUCCAUGCAAAGCCCAUGAUAGUAUUUCUUGACUUGUUUGCACAGAUGGAAAUUAUUUUAAUUUCUUCAACUUUUUCCGACAACGAUGGCAGCGUUUUUUGAGUCAUCUGAUAAGGAGGGAGGGAGGCUUUGAAAUUUCAGUGCAAAAUGCCAAAACAAAGUGGUUACUUUACUCACUUUAGCUCUGUUCCUAGAGAAACAAACAAGGGUUGCUUUGG
rnacentral:lncRNA from 1 species